rnacentral:rRNA from 1 species
GACGGAGGAUGCAAGUGUUAUCCGGAAUCACUGGGCGUAAAGCGUCUGUAGGUGGUCAAAUAAGUCAACUGUUAAAUCUUGAGGCUCAACCUCAAAACCGCAGUCGAAACUAUUAGACUAGAGUAUAGUAGGGGUAAAGGGAAUUUCCAGUGGAGCGGUGAAAUGCGUAGAGAUUGGAAAGAACACCGAUGGCGAAGGCACUUUACUGGGCUAUGACUAACACUCAGAGACGAAAGCUAGGGUAGCAAAUGGG